rnacentral:tRNA from 1 species
GCCUCAAUAGCUCAGUGGCUAGAGCGCUGGUCUAGUAUACCAAGAGGCCAGAGUUCGAUUCUCAUUGGAGGCA